UUAGUGAGCACUGAAGUGUCUCAGGGAGAGGUAGUUUAGGAGAGUUAUGUUAUAAAAAUUAAAUACUUUGGUAAAGUUUAAACAAGGUUAUGAUGUGUUAGCAGCCUUGAUUACUUUACUUGUUGGGGGGCUGGUAAAAAAUGAAAAUGAAGCUGAGCAGAACCAAACAGGAUUGAGGAGGUGAGGGUCUUUCCACUGCUACAGGUUCAACGUGCAGUUAAGAUUGUAAGGACAGGAAGCAUGUGGAAUAUCAGACUUCCUUCCAAGAUGACUGUUUCAAGCCAACUGCCACACUCGACCUCCCCGGACCACCUGGACCCCAGCCUUGGAAAGUAUCUUUCACCCAGACAGUCAUCUGCAACUCUGACAAGGCGAGAUCUGGAGAGUUACAGUAGGACUUGUGAUGCCAAGAGGGACAGCGCGGCUGAAGCAGGUACUGAGACGGACGCUGUGAAAAGGCUUGAGGACCCGUAAAAGCGUACCCUGCACUGUACCCAUUGCCUGCUGGGGUGCACUCUGGCUCCCCAGCAGCCCUGAAUUGGAUGAAGCAGUUACAAAAUGGAUGGAUGGAUGGAUCUGGGCAGUAAAUGGUCUCUUCAGUCCCUUCCUUGGCGUAAAAUCACCGUUUCAGGCACAGGAAUAGAUGCUCUGUCCAGUAAAUGUAUCCAGUUCUUAUGCUUUGGCAGAGACUGUGUUUUACCUAUUGCUUUCACAAAGGAUUUCAACCACAUGAUAUACUGUAAAAUUACAUGUAAAUAUACUAUAAUAAAAAGAACCGGUAAGGUACUAUAAGCUAA